rnacentral:rRNA from 1 species
GUGCCAGCAGCCGCGGUAAUACAGAGGGUGCAAGCGUUAAUCGGAUUUACUGGGCGUAAAGCGUGCGUAGGCGGCUUUUUAAGUCGGAUGUGAAAUCCCUGAGCUUAACUUAGGAAUUGCAUUCGAUACUGGGAAGCUAGAGUAUGGGAGAGGAUGGUAGAAUUCCAGGUGUAGCGGUGAAAUGCGUAGAGAUCUGGAGGAAUACCGAUGGCGAAGGCAGCCAUCUGGCCUAAUACUGACGCUGAGGUACGAAAGCAUGGGGAGCAAACAGGAUUAGAUACCCUGGUAGUCC